GACCACGUAGCUCAGUUGAUAGAGCAUUAGGCUAGUAUUCCAAAGGUCGUAGGUUCGAUUCCCACCGUGGCCG
rnacentral:tRNA from 1 species